AAUAAAACCAGUAAUCUAUCUUCUCUAUUACACAAAUUUAUUCUCUCACUCAUAUCUCUUCUCUUUCACUCAUAUCUCUCUCUUACAGUCAUCUCUCUCCUGGCUCAUCUCUAUCCGCUCUUAUCUUUCUAUGUUGUUCUCUCUUCGUCCAUCUCAACUUAGAGGACACUAUGUGCCUCAACUUGCAGAGCUUAUACUUUAUCUUCGUUUGGUUGGAGUUUUGUUUCGAUUGGAGCUUGGAGGUUUCGAUUUAAUUGGAGAUCUAAGUUCAACUCCCAAGAAUUUUGCUCUAAAGAUAGUUUUGGUCUAUCCAUUAUUUUCCGCACUUCUGAACUAGCAACUGCAAUACUGAUAGACUUGAUAUCGCAAGAGUUCAACGAGAACAAAGCGCGAUUUCAUCAAGACGUUAUUCAGUCGAUUCAUGAAGAAGCAGGUGGAAAUGCUGCGAGUAGAAAAACUUGCUCAAGAGAUGGAAGAAAAAAUAGAUCCAAAGGUUCGAGAGAAUGUCAAGGCGUUGGUGUCCAAGUUGGUAGAAAAAAAAUCAAGACUUCAAGAUUGAUAUUGAAGACCUCAGUGUCGAACCGACGUAUGAUUCCCCUGCAAGUGGAGCCAACACAUCCAACACAGAGAUUACUUGAUCUGAUCCGUGAUGCACAUAGAUACUCUAACCAUAAUUUGCAAAGUUUAACUUGUAAUGUAGUUAUGACUUAAAAUAUUUAUGAAUUUGAACUGCUAUUUCAGUUGGAUGGUUGAAUUA